UCUCCGUAGGUGAACCUGCGGAGGGAUCAUUACUGAGUGAGGGCUCACGCCCGACCUCCAACCCUUUGUGAACACAUCUUGUUGCUUCGGGGGCGACCCUGCCGGCACUCUGUCGCCGGGCGCCCCCGAAGGUCUCCAAACACUGCAUCUUUGCGUCGGAGUUUAAAACAAAUUAAACAAAACUUUCAACAACGGAUCUCUUGGUUCUGGCAUCGAUGAAGAACGCAGC
rnacentral:misc_RNA from 1 species